UGAGCAAUCUGCCCUUCUCUUUGGAAUAAGCGUGGGAAACCGCGUCUAAUGCCGAAUACGACCUCCUUUCGCAUGAUCGGAGGUGGAAAGCUCCGGCGGAGAAGGAUGAGCUCGCGGCCUAUCAGCUAGUUGGUGUGGGUAAUGGCCCACCAAGGCGACGACGGGUAGCCGGCCUGAGAGGGUGACCGGCCACACUGGGACUGAGACACGGCCCAGACUCCUACGGGGAGG
rnacentral:rRNA from 1 species